ACAUGCAAGUCGAACGAGAUGGCCUUUUGAGAGCUGCGUGCUUGCACAAAGCAGGAUAAAGAAUUUCCAUCUAGUGGCAGACGGGUGAGUAACACGUAAGUAACCUACCUUAGAGACUGGGAUAACGUUUGGAAACGAAUGCUAAUACCGGAUAAUUCAUCUUUACAUAAGUUUAGAUGCUAAAAGGAGCUUCGGCUUCACUUUAAGAUGGGCUUGCGGCGUAUUAAUUAGUUGGUGGGGUAAUGGCCUACCAAGAUUACGACGCGUAGCCGAACUGAGAGGUUGAUCGGCCACAUUGGGACUGAGACACGGCCCAAACUCCUACGGGAGGCAGCAGUUAGGAAUAUUCGUCAAUGGGGGAAACCCUGAACGAGCAAUGCCGCGUGAGUGAUGACGGUCUUAUAGAUUGUAAAACUCUGUUGUAUGAGAAGAAACUCUAUAAUAGGUAAUGAUUAUAGAUUGACGGUAUCAUACCAGAAAGCCCCGGCUAACUACGUGCCAGCAGCCGCGGUAAUACGUAGGGGGCGAGCGUUAUCCGGAUUUAUUGGGCGUAAAGCGUGUGUAGGCGGUUUGUUAAGUGUAAAAUCAAAGCCUGAGCUCAACCUCAGUUCGUUUUACAAACUGGCAGACUUGAGUGUGGUAGAGGCAAGUGGAAUUUCUAGUGUAGCGGUUAAAUGCGUAGAUAUUAGAAGGAACACCAUUGGCGAAGGCGGCUUGCUGGNCNUUACUGACNCUGAGACCCNAAGCNUGGGGGCAAAUAGGAUAAAUCCCUAUANUCNCCCGUAACNUGAUUCUAAUGUCGGAACCGGGCUGANUUACCAUUAGUCNCN
rnacentral:rRNA from 1 species